CGCUAGCGGCGCGCCUAACACAUGCAAGUCGCACGAGAAAGCGGGAGCAAUCUCGCAAGUAAAGUGGCGUACGGGUGAGUAACACGUGGAUCAUCUACCCUGGAGUGGGGAAUAACGCUGGGAAACCGGCGCUAAUACCGCAUAUACCCGAGAGGGGAAAGCAGCAAUGCGCUCGAGGAGGAGUCCGCGGCCGAUUAGCUAGUUGGCAGGGUAAAAGCCUACCAAGGCUGUGAUCGGUUGCCGGCCUGAGAGGGCACACGGCCACACUGGCACUGAAACACGGGCCAGACUCCUACGGGAGGCAGCAGUGGGGAAUCUUGCACAAUGGGGGAAACCCUGAUGCAGCGACGCCGCGUGAGCGAUGAAGCCCUUCGGGGUGUAAAGCUCUUUCGGCAGGGAAGAUUAUGACGGUACCUGCAGAAGCAGCUGCGGCUAACUACGUGCCAGCAGCCGCGGUAAUACGUAGGCAGCAAGCGUUGUUCGGAGUUACUGGGCGUAAAGGGUGUGUAGGUGGCGCGCUAAGUUCCGUGUGAAAUCUCCCGGCUCAACCGGGAGGGUGCGCGGAAAACUGGCGGGCUAGAGUACGGGAUGGGAGAGUAGAAUUCCUGGUGUAGCGGUGAAAUGCGUAGAUAUCAGGAGGAAUACCGGUGGUGUAGACGGCUCUCUGGACCGUAACUGACACUGAAACACGAAAGCGUGGGUAGCAAACAGGAUUAGAUACCCUGGUAGUCCACGCCCUAAACGAUGCAUAUUUGGUGUAGGUCAUUCAGUUGAUCUGUGCCGGAGCUAACGCGUUAAAUAUGCCGCCUGGGGAGUACAGUCGCAAGGCUGAAACUCAAAGGAAUUGACGGGGGCCCGCACAAGCGGUGGAGCAUGUGGUUCAAUUCGACGCAACGCGAAGAACCUUACCUGGGCUCGAACGGCUAGUCAACGAUCGUGGAAACACGGUUACUCCGCAAGGGGGUCUAGUCGAGGUGCUGCAUGGCUGUCGUCAGCUCGUGUCGUGAGAUGGUGGGNUUAAGUCCGCAACGAGCGC
rnacentral:rRNA from 1 species